UAUAUAUAUAUAUAUAUAUAUAUAGUUCGAGUUCGUCUCGAGUUGACAGGGCCGCCGAGAGCUUGGCGGGGGCCCGGCAAAUUUUUCUUAGGGGGCCCUAUUCAAAAAAUGUUUCCGUACGAGUACGUUGUAAAUGCUUUUGUGGGAAUUUCCUGCAAAAAUUUCAAACCAAAUUUUGGUUCUUUGCCGCAGAAAAACACAAAUAUUUCGGCCAAAAACGGUAAUAUUUCGCGCAAAAAAAUGACUGGGGCCCAACAAAAAAUUUCUAGGGGCCCCCAGAACCUCAGGGCAAUUUGCCCCCCGCCCCCUGCCCCCCCCUCUCGGCGGCCCUGCCGGAGUUGAUAUCUUGUUCCAGUUUAACUUCGAGUUAAGCCUACGAGGCGUAAUAAAAUAAAUAUUAUCAAAAAAAAAUACGAAAACUUUUUUAAUCUCACCAAUCGUCUCCUUCUAACUGUAACACCUACCUACUACCCAUAAUCUCUAACCCUAAAGCUCGUUUUCCACUAGGCGAAUUUGUUCGCACGAAGCGACUUUUUCAUUUGUCGGCAUCACUUAUCACAUCAGCUAAAGCAAUUCUAGCAUGAGCUCAACCACAGAAGAGAUAAGGGCUCAACCUUUGAAUAGUAAAUUCAAAGGUGAAGCUCAUGUUGAGCAAUUUUGACAAAGGAAAAAGUCGCUUCGCGUGAACAAAAUAAUAUAUGGGCCUAAACCCUGAACCAACCCCAAACUCUAAACCUAAUCGCAUGCAGCUUGAAUUCUGUUAUAACUCGAUUUGCUCGAUUUGAACUCGACUCGAAAUUUACUCGAAUUCAUAAAUUUCCUGGCCCCAUGGUGUACAUGCUCUAUAUAGGCUUAGGAAUUUGAUGGAUUCACUGUCAGCUCUCUAAAAAUCAUGUAUUCAUUCGGUUACAUAAUUUAGAUAGAGCCACCGAAAUUUUUCGAACCUUGGAGGUAGCUAAAAAUAGUAAAACUAUUCCACAUUGAAAUAUAAGAGAACUUAGGCCACAUAAAAUAAAUUCCUUGAUUCUCAUCACCGCCCGACUGUAUUUUAUAAAGAGCCUCGUUUUUUAUAUUUCGUUAUAGCUACAAUAUAAAUGUACCGACCGACAAAAUAUUUCAAGACAAUUAAGUUUUUUAUAUUUUAUAUUGGGUUUAUACAGGGUGUAUCAAAAUAAACGCAAUUCAUCUUUUGUGCUUAAUAACUUUCGAAAUACUAUUUCUAGUUAAACGCUUUUAGGCUUACUUCAAAGCCUGUUCUUUUCUCUUUCAAACAAACUAUUAUCCUUGUCUCCAAUGCUAGUAAUAAUUGCACAGGAAAAGAUUUAGUAAAACCUACCAUUUUUAGUUGCUGUUUAAUUAUGCAAGUUUACUAUGUUAUUGUUUAGUCGGUGUAAAUGUUAGAAUUUUCUUCUCUAAACUUUAAUGUUGUCGUCACUACAUCUGGAAAACCACGUAAGAACAAAUUAAAAGUAUUUUAAAA